CGUGGUCUUCACGAUAGAAGA
rfam:Soil-borne wheat mosaic virus (SBWMV) complete RNA 2 segment: 84 kDa readthrough protein, 19 kDa capsid protein and 19 kDa cysteine-rich protein genes, complete cds.